GACGAACGCUGGCGGCGUGCCUAAUACAUGCAAGUAGAACGCACAGUUUAUACCGUAGCUUGCUACACCAUAAACUGUGAGUUGCGAACGGGUGAGUAACGCGUAGGUAACCUGCCUGGUAGCGGGGGAUAACUAUUGGAAACGAUAGCUAAUACCGCAUAAUAUUGAUUAUUGCAUGAUAAUUGAUUGAAAGAUGCUAUUGCAUCACUACCAGAUGGACCUGCGUUGUAUUAGCUAGUAGGUGAGGUAACGGCUCACCUAGGCGACGAUACAUAGCCGACCUGAGAGGGUGAUCGGCCAAACUGGGACUGAGAAACGGCCCAGACUCCUACGGGAGGCAGCAGUAGGGAAUCUUCGGCAAUAGACGAAAGUCUGACCGAGCAAAGCCGCGUGAGUGAAGAAGGUUUUCGGAUCGUAAAGCUCUGUUGUAAGAGAAGAACGGGUGUGAGAGUGGAAAGUUCACACUGUGACGGUAUCUUACCAGAAAGGGACGGCUAACUACGUG
rnacentral:rRNA from 1 species